UUUUGAUGUGGUUAUAUUUAACCUCGUUCAUUGCUCUGGAUGACAGGUGUGCCAGAAGGCAAGAGGAUUGUUAGGGCAAAUGCGCUAGUGAGAGAAGUGCUUGAGAAAUACUCCAUGACUGGGGGGCAGUCCUGGCAGGGCUGUGCGAGCAGCUGGGUCGCACUUCCAUCAUAUCACACAGGAGUAGAAGUGGUUUUAUCUUUGGAUAUCUGCGGGUUUGAAAUCAGGCAGCAUUUGAUUGUUUUAGUAGGGAAAUUCUACUCGGUAGACUUGGUGCUGAUUUUCAUGCAUGUAUCCAUUCAAGGUCCUUUGGUGAAAGCACCAAAGACGUUGCUUUCAGAUAGAUAAAAUACUGAAUGUUUGGGUUGGGGUUUUUGGUUGAAUGUGAGUGCUAGUGCUGUGAAGGGCUGAGAGUUUUGUGAAGAGUUAGCUCUUUAAGAAACAGUUCACUUGGUUAAAAAACAAACCUGAAAGCCUUCCAGGUUUGAUGCUUGAUACUUUAAGAUGUUAUUCAGGCGUGCCUUGUUUUUUAAUUCUUCUGCAUCAUAUUCUUACCUCAAAGAGUUUAAGUUACAUAGGUAAAAUAAAGGAUAAGAGUAAAGUAAUGAGUAUUUUUUUAAAUGCUUGAAAGAGCUCAUAAACUCCCUCCUGUAACUAAUUUUACUGUUUUUAUGCUCAACAAUAUAAAAAUGGAGCGGUAAUUACUUUAAUUUGUAGUGUUGGCUAAUUAUCUUGUUAGCAUAGAAUUUCACUGAAGUCAUAAAUCUUCGCAGAUUGGCCUGGUUGAGGAAAUCACUGCUUUCAAAAGCUUUGAGCUUUUGCUGCUUUUUGGCCCUAGUCAAACUCUGGGUGGAAUAUUAAUAAAUCAGCAAUAGAAACAUCACCCUCUGGGUUCUUUAUACAAAGUGGUUGUAUCGGGGUAGAGUUCUUGAUUUUUAUUGCACACAAUAGACUUGUGUUGAAAGUAGUUGUGAAUCUAAAUCAGUGGGUAAUCUCAUCGUUUGGAAACAGCCCCUUUUUAGCUCUGCACCCCUCCUUCACAGAGAGGCACUGUGUCCAGGGCUGCACAGCUUCAGCCUCGCUUAGCAGUUGAUGAAUACAGGUACGAAUACUUGGCUGCCUCUUAUUUUCUGUUAAUGCUGAGAAAUUGCUAGCAGCAUUGUUAUUCUGAAUUCAGUGGUGCUUCAGAAUAGGAGGAAUUGUAAGAAGUGCACCUUUGGUCGUGUGGCAGAGCCUGAAGUGAAAGAUUCCAGUGCCUCUGUGUAAUGCUAGCACAGGGGAACACAGUCAUUCUGAUUGGGAGGUUCUCUCAUUCCCUUCUUUGUGGUUCACCUGGGGAAAGCAGCUCAGAAUUGCAGCUGGGUGCUUUAUUAGUUCAGAUAAUGGGCUUCAGUGUAGUUUGAAACUGUUAGGUGUUCCCCAGUUCAUUUGUUGCAGGAGUUAAAGAUUGAAACUCAAGGAAGAGAGGAAGAACACUCAUGGUUAAUGCAGCUGCCUGCUGCCCUGAAGGAUAGAAAUCUCAGCCCCUACAGCUGCCACAAAAUGCCUUUGUAAUGCAAAGGCCACUUUAAUUUUGGCAUACCUCAUGCCUGAGUGUUUAAUUUUAUGGCCUUAAUGUUCUCUUACCGUAGUUUUAAUGUAUAAUAUAAAUUCUUAAAUAUAGCUACUUUCAGAAUAUGUAAUUGUACAUUUAAAGUUUCUGCGCUUUGCAGUUCCCAUGUAUUUAAUAUAAGUAGAAGCAACAUGACUUUGUUCGUGGAGUCUUUUGUCACCUUACUGUUUGCCUCCUUUGGACUCUUUCCAGCUGUUACAUUUUGUCGUUAAAAUCACUGAAUUAGUUUUCUUACUCUGCAGUGAUGUUCUGAGGAACAAUGCUGACUAUAUCAUAAAAUCAGCUGUAGUAAUAUUAAUAUUUUAUUCAGUGUAGAUCCAUUAGAAGUAGAUACACUGUGUAAGAUUCAGAACUGCUAUUUCGGUAGAAUCUUAUGAAGCUUAGGAGAUACUGUGGGCAUUCCCCAUCUUCCCAAUAAAGAUGUAUCCAAGUGAGGUUUAAGAGUGGUGACAAAUGCUUUGUCCUUGUAGUAGUGUUUAAUAAUCUUUAAGUGUAUGAGAAAGCUUCAGUUCUAGAGCUAAAACCAUUUGACUCGUUAUGACAGCCUGCUACCACAGGGCAAAUGGCAUUGGACUAAUAUCCGUAUGAUAAAGCAGAAUGAAACAGUUCUUGGAGAAAGAUCCGUCUUAAGUGAAUUUAAAAAUAAAUACUGAGUUGUAAACAUCGUGAGGUUCUGUAGAUGUAAAAAGAUAUUUGCAGGUGUUUCUGAGGUUUUGAUGCAUGUUAUUUUGGUAUCUGGCCAGACCCAAAAGGAAUAGAGAGAAGACAAAAACUGUGAUUUAGAUGGGUUCUAAAUAUCUUGUCCAGCGUGAACUUUUAGCCAUAUGUUGGCUGUGUUUUUACAGAUCUCUGUAAAAGUUUUCCGGGCACCCUGAAGCUUUGUUCUCACUCAGAUCCUCCGUGCUCUUGUCAAAACGGAGCAUCUUGGCACCUCUGCCUGUUUAGUAUUCAUAAAUUAGGCAAUCUGUAAAUUAGGCAUUCACUUGUCCGAAGGCAUGUUCAAACCGCACCUGAGUCACACCUAUGGGGUUGGACUCGGGCCAACCUGGAGACUCUCCCUUUGGUUCAGAAGCACAAAGGAGGGACAAGGUAGAAGAAGUGUUUUUCUUUUUUUGUUUUUUUUUUUGGUUGGUUGGUUGUUUUUUUUUUUAAUGUCUCUUUCCAAAAGAAAACAAAGCUCAGAUGCUCCCAGCAACAACGAAAACCCAAACACUAAAAAUCCACUUUUCACUGCUUAGAAGGUGAUUAAAGUUUAACUGGGCAAAAGAAAAACACUACAGUGCUUGUUUUCUUGGAGCUGGAGAUGAAGGAGAUAGGCAACUGUGUUGUGGUCUCUUCCAAGAGCUCUUCAGUCUUUUCUUCCAUAUAAAACUUUAAAUGUCAUUAGGGAAUGGAAGCCAGAACUCUUCUCUGUCAUGUUGGGACCCAGAGAGUCUGCAUGCUGUCCAGCAAGCCUCUUACUUCUCAGUUUUUCUUACUUGCUCUGAGGGCUGAUGCUGGAAGGAGAGGUCAGGAGUUGAUCCAGCUUCCAGCACAGCAUGGAACCUGCAGAGAGGCUGUGGUCUGGACCCCUCUGGAGAGUGGCUGUAAUUUCUCUGUUCUGGCUUACUGUGUUGUAACUGUGCUGCUGGACAAAAAUGAGAACACUUAUUUUCCCUCUCUCUGGCGUGUCUUGAUGGGAAAAGCUUAGCUACAUACAUCGGGAUUGCAAAUACUAACCUUACCAGUGUUCUAGUCCUCAGAAACAAGUGAUGUUGAAGGCUUGGUUUUGUGUUUACCAGUUACCUUUAAUGUCUGCGUAUCUACUAACUUUUUUAGAAGUAUUGCUGAGCAGUGCAGCUGUCCUUGACUUUGGUACUUAUUUUUUCUACAGCUACUUGAAAGGAGGUUGUAGUGAGGUAGGCGUCAGCCUCUUCUGUCAGGUAACAGCGACAGGACAAGAGGUAACAGCUUUAAGUUAUGCCAGGGAGGGGGUUCAGGUUGGAUGUUAGAACUGAAUUACUGACAUCUUGUGGUAGUGGUGGAGCUAUCGGACACCUAGAAGAGGAAUGCCUGGGAGUGGGCUUAUCAUCCAGCACAGCGUCUAACUUUUAGAUGCUUAACAGUGGGGUACAGUAUUGUUUACAAUGUAAUACUAACAUUGUAGAUAAAAUCUAAAAGUUUUUAGCAUGCAGCUCCCUAAGUACAUGAGAAUAUCUCAGGUGGCUGAUCCUAUAUGCAUCCCAUUAACUGCUGACCUGACAGUUAUUCCCAAAGUUCCAGCACUGCCUUAUGAAUGCCAUCAGAAGAGUGUUUGUGAACGUAUUAGGAACAGCCCUUUAACAAGUGGCCCUUGGAAGAAAGAGGGAUGGUAAUGUGUGCAUUUCUUAAUAUGCAUUAACAAAAAUCUGAGAAGAAGCACACAAUUUUACAUAUUAAAUGAUUAUUUUGGAGAAUAUUUGAGUAUGAGAUAGUAAGAUGCAUAAUGAGGAAGAAAGAACACUUUAAAAUAAAUUGCAUUAAUAUAGCUAACUUUGUAUUUCCAAUUCCAAGAAUUCCAGUGCUGCUGCUGCAGUAAAUAAAACAUAAGUUACCAUUUUUACACUUUGUGAAGUACAUCCAGGAUGAUAAAAGCUUUUAUUGGUGUAGUAAAUAUUAGUUGCUGGCAUUUAAGAGUAUUUGAUAUUUUGGGUGGCUGUUUCACUGCAUGUUUAAUGCGGUGUCAGAGACUGGUGUUGGUCUUUCGAGUAGUGGAUGUUACUCGCAUGCACUCUGACAAAGCUGUUCUGGAAGAAUAACGUUCCAGCAGCUUGGUGGCUGCUCGCAAGAAGGUGGGUGUGAAUUCUGACAGGGUAAGCUCAUGCUGAUGUGAGCAGGUGGGAGAUUGAGAGUUCUUCCCUUGGAACUUGUCAGAGAAAUGCCAGAGGCUUAGGCUGGCUUGGUUUUCCUUGGUCAUCCAAAAGCCUCAGGGAUGUUAAGGGGAAAGAUGGUGGUGUGUGGAGGGACUUUCCCAGCCCCUAGUCCACGAGGGGUGUGUUUUAUAUUUGAAACGUAGAUCUGAAGAUGUGAGAAAUCAGGAAACAUUUCACCAAAAUCUGCUUGGCUCAGGAAGCAAGCAACAAGGGAGGUGGCUUUUUGUUUUAAGUCCGAUUUCCUACGGAAAGUGAUUGACGCUGUUUAUCCCAUUCUUUCCUUACAUAUUUGCCAAUAGCUUUUGAAGUCACAGACCAGUUGCAACCACGAUUGCAGGAAGGACAGAUCUCAGACUGUCACAUUCCUACAGUUUUGGGGAAGAUAAACAAACUGGGUGGGGAGAGAGCACGCUGCAAGUUUGGCAUUGAUUUGCUUUUUAGCAUGUGCAGGUCUCUGCUGUGCAGGAGAUCAUUGGGUGUAGGCUGGCUUGUUACUGCGGGGCAGAGGAGUGCUCAUGAAAGGUAGAACUAUAGGAACUGUGCCCUACUGUCUGUUAAUGGGUAUUUUGAUCAUUAACUGAGGAAUUAGUGUUCUGAUCAGAAUUAGUUUGCUUACUUUUAAUUCCUGGACAAUUCUCUGCUCAGUAAUGCCAGAUACUCUUUUCAAGCCUCUGUGACAGGUGUAAUGUUUACAAAUUUUGUAGCAUGCAGAAACUUCCAUUAUUACCAUAUGCUUGUUACAAAGUAGCAUAAUAGAUGUAAAAUAGUUAUGUGGCUUCAACUUGUGCUUAUUUUAAAGUAGCUUUCAUAGUAAAAAAUAUUCUGAAGGAAAUCAGCUUUUCCUCUGUCUGUGCGUAGAAAAGCAAGUAGCAGCAUGAAUCAUGUCUUCCAAGAACUGUCAGAGUAGGAAUGCACGUUCUCCCCCUAUUCACACACUUUCCUCACUGUCAAUUUUAAUGAGGUAAUAUGAUUUAAUAAAGGUUUUCUUGCCAUCCGCAGCAGCAACAUUCAUUAUAUGUAAUCAAUCUGCUGUUAGCAAGUGUGUGGCUGAAGGUGAAAGUAAAGUUUGGAACUUGCGUGCUACUUUCAAUGGUAGCUUGUUAUCUCAGUAACCUUGCUUAAAAUACAUUUCGCUAUUUAGCUGCAGUAAAUGCAAAUUUUCAGGUGAAAAUAUUUUUGUUGUUUUGAGGUUUUUUUUCAGAUUGUAUAUUUUUUUUGCUAGCCUAGCAGUGUUAAACAUUUUGUGCUGCGCUAAAGGUUUGCAUGAUGUUUCCCAGAUAAAGACACAGUUCCAGCCUUGAAGAGCUUAUGAUCUAAAUGUCAGUGAUAUAGAAAAUGAGGAGAAUGAUCUCAGAAAAGGGGACAAGGAUUCAAAUGAAUAACACUGUGCCAAAAAAGACUUUUGCUCAGAUGACAUCACACUUGGACUACUAAAGCUAUCCACCCACUCUUCAAGGCAUAAUGGAUUUCUAGGUAAUUUAACAAAUGCAGUGUGAAGCCUAUUCCUUCAUUGGCAAAAACCUCUGGAAAUAUAUGCUAUAUAUUGAAUGUUGGUGAAAUUAGGUGAGUCUCCGUGAAUGUUUUAAUCAUUCUAAGCAACAGGAUGAGUUAAUCAUGUGAGACCAAAUCCUAUUUAUAACUUACAAUGCUAAGAUACAAUCUGACAUUUAACUUAAAAUCUAAAAGAUUAAAUUGAUUAAAAAGAUUAGAUAAGCAAAUGACAUAGCUCAGAAAAAGAAAGGUAAAUGUUAUGCAGUGUAUUCCUGGAUUUUCCCUUUGCUUGUGUAAAAACAUAUUUGUAAUGCGGUUCUUUUAUAACAUAAGUUUCUUGAUUCGUUUCCAUUGGCAUAUCUGGCACGGUGUUCCUGUGGCUGCUCUCUGAGAUGAUUAGGGUCAGGCAUUUCGAUAUUGGCAUAAACAAAUAUUGCUAUAUCAUUAAUCCUUUUUCUUUCUAAAUUCCCAUCGUCAUUUACUGCUCGAUGUUGAGAUGAGUUUGAAUGACAAAAGCAAGCACAUGUUCAUCUUCAGCUCUUUUAAAUUUAGUUUGAUAGGGGCAAGUUGAAUUUUGGUAGUAGUGCUUAUAGACCUGUUUUGGUCUCAGCCACGUGAAUUGCAAAGUGAGAAAAAUCCUGCAAGCUUUGUCUGAAAGUUCAGAGAUGCCAACAACUUCAGUUUUCACUUGCUGUAAUAACUAACACAGAUAAUAAGGGGAAAAUAAAUUACUAAGACACAAAAUCUGAAAGAAAUAGCCAAUAGAUUAGCACAUACUGUUUUCUGUUUACUUUUGCUUUUAAGACGGUGAGCAAAAGCUUCAAUUCUUGUUGAAUCAGUGCCUGUUCUGUUUUGUGAGAUGAUACCUGUUUUCUGGAAAGGAAGAAUACAAUUGAAGUAUAUGCAUUACCAUUUUGAUUUAUGUCAUUAAUAUGGUUUUGGACAGAAUCUCUCAACUAAUUCCUCUUAGUACCUACUGGUUCACUGUGACUGAAUUACAUUCCUUUCUGAGAAAACAAUCAUUUACAUUCUGCUGCAGGUGUGAGGUGCUCUUUGUCUCUACUGGGAACAUACAGGCCUGAAUCAAUUAUUAAAUCCUUGGAAAACUUUGAGUGGCCUGUGUAAUAGUAAUGUUUGCUUCUAGACACUAAAUGAAAUCUAACCCAAAAUAAACCUGCUUGAGCAGUGUCCGCACAAGCUGCUUUGGUCUACUGAUCCUAUUCUACUGCUCCAGUUUACUAGCUAGUGGUGACAUGGACAAAACUGUUAGCUUUGAUUAUUAGUGAGAAGCUGAGGUUUUCUUUGCAGCUUCUUUUUAUACAAACUGUCAAGGAAAUAGGGAAAAAGAACCUGCAAAUGACAGUAAAUCAAAUGACUUAUAUCACAGCUGUCUUUUGUAAUUGAUUGUUCUUUAAUCUGGUUUUCUUCCCUAUUUAUGUUCUUAAAUUGUGAAAAAUAGGAGUCAUGACUUUUUUAUAAUUUUAUGUACAAUACUGAAAUUUAUGUACUUCCUACUUCAGAUUUUCCCUUGAAUUUUUAAUCACACAAGCCCAGAGUUCUGUUGCAGCCACUGAGUCUGAGCAAGG